CUCUCCCUUCCAGUUCCCCCUCCCCCAUUUCUAUAUUUUUCUUAGUAUUGGUUUCUUGUCUAUCUAUCCUUCAUGUUUAGUUCCCAGAGAGUGUAAGAGCUUUUUAAAUGUGGUUUGAUUUCUAUAGUUUACUAUUCUUUUUUUCUGUCUGCCUGGUUCAGGGUUGUUUUACCCUCCUUCUUUCUUUUCUCUUUAUCUGAGAGAGAAGAAGUAAAGUCUUAU